rnacentral:rRNA from 1 species
CCGUUGUACACACCGCCCGUCACACCAUGGGAGUUGGUUUUACCCGAAGGCGCUGCGCUAACCCGCAAGGGAGGCAGGCGACCACGGUAGGGUCAGCGACUGGGGUG